rfam:Bacillus vietnamensis strain TCD-SED5 scaffold_73, whole genome shotgun sequence.
GGUUAAGUUAUGAAGGGCGCACGGUGGAUGCCUUGGCACUAGGAGCCGACGAAGGACGGGACUAACACCGAUAUGCUUUGGGGAGCUGUAAGUGAGCUUUGAUCCAG